ensembl:miRNA dre-mir-365-2 microRNA 365b
CUUUUAGGGGCAGCUGUGUUUUAUUAACCCAGUCAUAAUGCCCCUAAAAAUCCUUAUUGCUCUUGCAAU